ACCGUUCUCUCGCCAUCAAAUGGAAAAAGAAGUGACGUAAUGUAGGUACAGACGGGUUUCCUGUAGCCACAACGAUAGUAACUGGAGUGACGUGUGACGCGUUGCUCAGGUGUCUCACACACCUGCCAAUAUUAACCUUUCGGACGCUGUCUCGGUGGCGGAAAAAACACUCAGAGACUAUAACUAGCCACAACUGGAUAAAGGGGCACAAGUAUUCCAUGAAGAAUGUUUAAUUACGAAGGCCCUGGAGAGCCACAGGCUCUGCUGGUUUUUGUUUUCAACUUAAAGUCAGCACCCAGUUCAGACCAGACCCAAGCAACCAGGCGAAGUGAGUUCACCGUACACUCAACUUCUUUAACUGAAGGAGACCCUGCAGGCCCAUGGAAUGCUCAGCUGGAAUGUUUUGCAGCCGAAGAAACGGGGCUGGAGGUGUUAGGCCACACCCUUCAGGACAGCUGCACAGCGGCCAUUUUUACAAGGGCAGUACCUUCGUCGAUGUCGGGAGGGAGCCCCCCCACGAAGACCUUGCGGGAGUAGCGCUCCACGCGCUCGCCGUUCUGGUGGGGGAAGCCCAGCCCAGCCACGCCCUGGUCCCCCCUCUCCUCGUCCGCAAAGCCGUCCUCCAUCGGGAACAAGGACGAGUGACCUGUCAAUCACAAGGACACCACAACUGCCCCAGUGUACCCCAGUGCUUCUGCAUCUGCCCCAGCUACUGCCCUGUGUGCCCCAGUCUAUCCACUUGGGCACUGAGUGAUGGGAGGUCACAGGAAGUGGUUUGCACAGUGCAGCCAAUGGGCUCUGGGGGGGUGGAACUGAGCAUGCCCAGUACGAUGUGUUCCAUCCAGUGCUAAUGCCAAGUGGAGCCCAUCUCCACCAGCUGUUCUUUGUAGGUUACUCUUGUGUACAAACACACUCACACACACGCACGCACGCACACACGCGCACACAC